AGAAGAAAUGGCCACCAAGGAUGAAACUGGAAAACAUCAACUUGUAAGACAGUGUCCCUCAUUCAUUUUUAACCCUUGAAAAUGCCUCCUCUUGAAAAUACAAAAAUCUCAGCUUACCUCUAAUCAUGAAGAGUGAACCACAAUUCAAGCACCAUUUAGGUAAUUUGUUUCAAUCCUGCCUCCUGCCACUUAGACUGUAAACAUUCAAGAAAAGAUGGGACAAUGGGAAGCUCCUCCCCCACCUCCCACUAGCCCUUGUCUACUUGUUUGGAAAGCCAUGUCUGUCAGUAUCCCAUUCUUGUCACCAAAAGUUGUCAAGUUAGCUUGCCAUAGUUUUGUAUAUGCUGGCGAAAGACAAGACUCCUAGGUCAGGAAAAAAAAAAAAGGACUUAUUACUCAUAGCAUAUCAGACAAGCAUGAGCAGCAUGAGCUUCUUGUUCAUGUCAUUUGUGCCCCUGAAAAUUUUACGGAGGUGAUGUGCGGUGGCCCAGGAAACAAGAAGAUUGUACUUGUCUGGCUCCUUGAAGUGAGGCAUAGCCAAGUGGCUAGUUUUGGCCUAUGAAAUGUGUGUAGAAGCGAUAUAUGUCACUUUUGGGAGGAAAAUUUAUUACCAAUGUUGUGGAAACAUGGGCUGGUAAAAGGUACCAUAAUACUAAGGCAACGUAGAAAGUAGGCCAACAUGCAAAGAAAAGCAAGCUGCUGAGGACUUCAUGUGAGCAAGAAUUAAACUUUAAUUCUGUUAAACUUC